CAGUCGCCACGGUAAUACGAACCGUGCGAACGUUAUUCGGAAUUACUGGGCUUAAAGCGCGUGUAGGCGGGCCGCCACGUCGGUUGCUGAAAUCCCCCGGCUCAACCGGGGAAGUGGCAUCGAUACGAGCGGCCUUGAGGGGGGUAGGGGGAUCUGGAACUUCCGGUGGAGCGGUGAAAUGCGUUGAGAUCGGAAGGAACGCCCGUGGCGAAAGCGAGGUCCUGGACCCUUUCUGACGCUGAGACGCGAAAGCCAGGGGAGCGAACGGGAUUAGAUACCCGAGUAGUCCCUGUCUCUUAUA
rnacentral:rRNA from 1 species